rnacentral:hammerhead_ribozyme from 1 species
AUCCGGCUAACGAGUCCCGAAUAGGACAAAAUGCGCGUUCUGGAU